UGUGUGUCUAACAGGUCUCUGUAGGUCAAAUCCAUCUGAGUUUGUAGCAUAUUUUCACUACUGCCGAUCUUCGCGGUUUGAAGAUAUGCCAUAUUAUUCAUAUUUGAAGAGGCUUUUCCGAGAUUUGUUUAUAAGAGAAGGUUAUCAAUUUGACUAUAUCUUUGACUGGACUUUAUUAAAGUAACCGCAGAUUUCUAGCAUCUCCAAAGGGAACCAAUCUGGUGUAAAAGCAGGUGCCGAACCAGCAAUUGAAAAACCGUAAAAGCUCCCAGCAUCAGGAUACAGAUAAAAAACGCAGUACUUCUCGGUACGGCAGAACUGCAAGAAGAGCUGUAAUAGUAAGCAGGGCUAGUUCAGCCAGUGAAGUAGAUGACAUUCUGCAAAAUCGACGACUACCAACAAGUGGCCGCAUUCUUAACACACAAAGAGUCCAGCUGGCUAUCGAGGCCAAUGCAGCCCUCAGAGGAAGCCGUUACGAUAGUCCUAUUCGAAGUUUUGAGCUCCUCAAUCUUAAGAAAUGAUGGGCUCCAUCUAGGCUGAUGUUUUUUUUCCAUAACUUCGACUCACACUGUGUAAAUGGGACAUAUAUAGAGCCAUUGUAACAUGUUACUUCCCUUGAGAGUUCCCUUCCCCCAUUACCAAGAUUUUCCCUCCCCUUGAGAUUUCAUAUUAUGUCCAUUGUAACAUGUUGUAGACAUCAUGAAAGAGAAUUCAUGUAUCGGAAUUUUAUUUGUCUUAUGC